GACGAACGCUGGCGGCAUGCCUAAUACAUGCAAGUCGAGCGAACAGAUGAAGUGCUUGCACUUCUGACGUUAGCGGCGAACGGGUGAGUAACACGUAAGGAAUCUACCUAUAAGCGGGGGAUAACAUUCGGAAACGGGUGCUAAUACCGCAUAAUAUCUUCUUCCGCAUGGAAGAAGAUUGAAAGACGGCUCUGCUGUCACUUAUAGAUGACCUUGCGGUGCAUUAGUUAGUUGGUGGGGUAACGGCCUACCAAGACGAUGAUGCAUAGCCGACCUGAGCGGGUGUUCGGCCACAUUGGGACUGAGACACGGCCCAAGCUCCUGCGGGAGGGAGCAGUAGGGAAUCUUCCGCAAUGGGCGAAAGCCUGACGGAGCAAUGCCGCGUGAGUGAAGAAGGCCUUCGGGUCGUAAAACUCUGUUAUAAGAGAAGAACAAAUUGUAGAGUAACUGCUACAGUCUUGACGGUAUCUUAUCAGAAAGCCACGACUAACUACGUGCCAGCCGCCGCGGUAA
rnacentral:rRNA from 1 species